rnacentral:misc_RNA from 1 species
UGCAGGGGAACUGUUGAAUUUGUUGCCACGAAAGAGUAUAUGGUGCGUGAUCCGAUGCCAGCGGUGUAUUUCUUCCUUAUUGAUGUAUCCAUGAAUGCAAUACAAACUGGCGCAACUGCUGCAGCUUGCAGUUCAAUCAAUCAAGUUAUUGCUGAUCUUCCAGAAGGACCCAGGACAAUGGUGGGAAUUGCAACAUUUGAUUCUAC